rnacentral:lncRNA from 10 species
CCAACCUUAUCUCAUCGUGGCCUACUUGAACCGAGUGUCCGAUCUCCCCUACCCGCUGGGUAUCCAGCCUUAGCGCGCACCGACUACAACUUCAACUUUCCACCCAUCUCCAGGGGAAAUUGAUUUUGAAAAAGCAGGCUGCUGCCACCACAGCAUUAUGAUCCUUUCCGGCUGCUGACCAAUCUGUAUUUUGUGAACUUCACAAGAGGAAUGAGAACACUGGCUGCUGUGUUACAACUGGGUGGGGGGUUGCACGGAGAAGAGAGAAAAGGAUCAGGGAGACCAUUUAAGAUGCUCUGGUGAUAUUACAGCUGAAAGAGACGUCUAAUCAAUAAAUAUCGAAUGAG